rnacentral:lncRNA from 1 species
CAAUAAAAGGGAGAUAACUUCUAAAGAGGAUGAUGAAAUCCUUAACAGGGUCAUUUGGUAAUAUUAUGCAUGAUGAGGUCUAUCAAUGGUCAUAUUUGGUCUUGGUAACUUUAACAGAAAGAAGGGGCGGGCAUGUCAAAAAAAUGUUGGAAGAAAAAAAAGAAAAAAAAAAAAAAAAAAAAACAUUAGAAAAACAAUAAGGUCUUUCCUCGCGGAGAGGAAAGACCUUAAAAACGGCAGAAUAA